CUACACGCCGGGCUAAGAGCUCAAACGAGUCACAAUAGGGAGGCUAGUGACCCCCAUCCAUUCCCAUGGCAUCGUUUGAAGGGCUCUGGAGCCAGCCGCCUGGGUUCGAAUCCUGACUGUCCCCCUCACCAGGCUCUGGGGAGGAAAGGGAGCCCAUGGCAGACCAGACCCCUGGCCGGCCAGGGUCCCCGGGGUCUGCGAGGAGGACGUUCAUGGGCGAGUGUGUGGUGGUGGGUGAACUGCGGCAGAACCCGAGAUUAACAGCUGGAACCCUCUCCUCUUGCAGGUCUGGGUGAAAAGCGUGGGACCCUCAGCCCAGAGCCGCACAAGACUUGGAUUUGCUUUGGAAACCACUGUGCUUUUCAACAAGAUCGUUCAAAUGGCCUGGGUGGAGACGGGGAGCUGGAGAGUUGGGGAUGGAAGCCGAUUUUAAGCCUGGAGGAAUCCAAACUGCACACAGUAGUCCAAGGCCCUGCCCCGCCUCCGUCCACCACCAUCCUCCCCCCGCACCCCCGCCAUGAGGUCCAUGACUGUAUCCUCAUUUCACAGAUGAGGAGACAGGCACAGAGCAGCAGCCAUGGCCAUGUGGCCGGUCACGCAGUGGAGGGAGGCCCGGGGGCAGGAGAGGGGCGCCUAAGGCCACACAGCAGGGCUGCGCCGGCGCGCAUGGCUGAGAAGCAGGUUCCAGGAGUUUCUGGGAGUUCUUGCUCAACAUCAAGAAACUUCCACCAGGAUCCACGGGGGGAAGUGGAAGCAGCCUUGUGAUAGCAGUUUCAAAGGCCUGGGCUCUGGCAAAUAGGAAAAAACAGGCUGAGAAAACAUAUCAGGCAGGCCUGCUUGUGAGGGAACCUGGCAGACAUCCAACCAGCAGUCUGGUGGCCAAUUCGGUACAUCAGACAUGCGCUUAAUCCAUCAUUCGGCAGCGGGCAGGUCACUGGCCACACAGGCUUCAGACCUCCUGGCUUGAGGGAACUUGGGGUUGCCAUCAGGCCCGUAUGAAUCAGAAAUUCUGGGCUUCUCAUCCCCCACCAGGCACUCCCACACUGUCCCUCCUCUGCAUGUUUGCCUCUCCAUUCUCUCUACCUUCACUGUCUCGGUUGCCUAUGGUCACAGUGAUACUCAAUAAACCACCAAAUCCAGUGGCUU
rnacentral:lncRNA from 1 species